rnacentral:lncRNA from 1 species
CUUCCAAGCUUCGUCAGCAUCCGAGCUUCCCCAACAAUGAGAUUUCUACGGUAACCAGACUCCUUCCAAGUUUUUACGGCGGUCGACUGCCUUGCGGAUCCUAAUCGAGCUCCCGCGAGAGCCGAACUUUUGCUACGAACAGUCUACUCCGAACUCCUACAGCGGGCUGUCUACCCCAGAUAUCUUCUGUAAACAAAUUUCUUUCGAAC